rnacentral:rRNA from 1 species
UACGGAGGGUGCAAGCGUUAUCCGGAUUUACUGGGUUUAAAGGGUGCGUAGGCGGUUUGAUAAGUCAGUUGUGAAAUUCCCCGGCUUAACCGGGCGGACUGCGAUUGAUACUGUCGGACUUGAAUCAGGUUGAGGUAGGCGGAAUGUGACAUGUAGCGGUGAAAUGCUUAGAUAUGUCAUAGAACACCGAUUGCGAAGGCAGCUUGCUAGACCUGGAUUGACGCUGAGGCACGAAAGCGUGGGGAGCAAACAGG